UACGGGGGGAGCAAGCGUUGUUCGGAUUUACUGGGCGUAAAGGGCGCGUAGGCGGCCACUGCAAGUCGGUUGUGAAAUCUCCGGGCUUAACCCGGAAAGGUCAAUCGAUACUGCAGGGCUAGAGUGCAGAAGGGGCAACUGGAAUUCUCGGUGUAGCGGUGAAAUGCGUAGAUAUCAGGAGGAACGCCGGAGGCGAGAGCGAGUGACUGGCGCGUUCCUGACGCUGAGGUGCGAAAGCUAGGGGAGCAAACAGG
rnacentral:rRNA from 1 species